rnacentral:rRNA from 1 species
UGGCGGACGGGUGAGUAACGCGUAAAGAACUUGCCCUUUAGACUGGGAUAACAGAGGGAAACUUCUGAUAAUACUGGAUAAGUUAGUAUAUCGCAUGAUAUGCAAAUGAAAGCUACGGCACUAAAGGAGAGCUUUGCGUCCUAUUANCUAGUUGGUAAGGUAAGAGCUUACCAAGGCGAUGAUAGGUAGCCGGCCUGAGAGGGUGGACGGCCACAAGGGGACUGAGAUACGGCCCUUACUCCUACGGGAGGCAGCAGAU